rnacentral:rRNA from 1 species
UACGUAGGUGGCAAGCGUUAUCCGGAAUUACUGGGCGUAAAGCGCACGCAGGCGGUCUUUUAAGUUUGACGUGAAAGCUCCCGGCUUAACUGGGAGAGGUCGUUGAAUACUGGAAGACUUGAGGCAAUGAGAGGGUGUAGAAUUCCCGGUGUAGUGGUGGAAUGCGUAGAUAUCGGGGGGAAUACCAGUGGCGAAAGCGGCACCCUAGCGUUAGCCUGACGCUCAUGUGCGAAAGCGUGGGGAGCGAACGGGAUUA